rnacentral:rRNA from 1 species
UACGGAGGGUGCAAGCGUUGUUCGGAAUUACUGGGCGUAAAGCGCGCGUAGGCGGUUUGUUAAGUCAGAUGUGAAAGCCCAGGGCUUAACCCUGGACGUGCAUUUGAAACUGUCAGACUUGAGUAUUGGAGGGGGUGGUGGAAUUCCCGGUGUAGAGGUGAAAUUCGUAGAUAUCGGGAGGAAUACCGGUGGCGAAGGCGACCACCUGGCCAAAUACUGACGCUGAGGUGCGAAGGCGUGGGGAGCAAACAGGAUUAGAUACCCUGGUAGUCCACGCGGUAAACGAUGAGAACUAGGUGUUGGGACGGUUGAUCGUCUCAUUGCCGCAGCUAACGCAUUAAGUUCUCCGCCUGGGGAGUACGGUCGCAAGAUUAAA